CCUACGGGAGGCAGCAGUGAGGAAUAUUGGUCAAUGGGCGCGAGCCUGAACCAGCCAAGUAGCGUGAAGGAUGACUGCCCUACGGGUUGUAAGCUUCUUUUGUCAGGGAGCAAAGGGCGCCACGUGUGGCGUUUUGCGAGUACCUGACGCACAGGCAUCGGCUAACUCCGUGCCAGCAGCCGCGGUAAUACGGAGGGUGCGAGCGUUAUCCGGAUUUGUUGGGUUAAAAGGGUGCGCAGGCGGAAUGUCAAGUCAGCGGUAAAAUUUCGGGGCUCAACCCCGUCGUGCCGUUGAAACUGGCGUUCUUGAGUGAGCGAGAAGUAGGCGGAAUGCGUGGUGUAGCGGUGAAAUGCAUAGAGAUCACGCAGAACUCCGAUGGCGAAGGCAGCAUACCGGAGCUCAACUGACGCUCAUGCACGAAAGCGUGGGUAUCGAACAGGAUUAGAUACCCGAGUAGUC
rnacentral:rRNA from 1 species